CUCACGUGACGUCUUCAAAAGUGGGAGCAUGCUCUUGUUCAAGAGCACCGUUGGCUUCAAAAGUGGGGAGUAAGCUGAGCUGCCAACAUCAAUCUAUAAAACCCAUUCAAGAAUCGCAGUACUCAGCUCUCAUUCUCAAUGAUCUCGACGUCUUUCUCUCUCUGAAAGCUUCCUCACAGGUUAGUGCAGUUGAAUAUGAAAAUCAGUUGCUUGGCAAGGCUCCGUGAAUGGUGGCACAUAUCAGACUUACAGAGCCUGAUAAUCCAAAUGAUUUAGUGAAUCUUGAUCUUGAACUGGUACUUCAUUGGGGUUCAGCUCUGUUCUCUGGUCGGCAUUGUAGAGGAAGGCUUUCUUUGUGGUGGAGAUUGGAUUACCAUGGAUGUGUCAGCUAGAAUUUUAGAUAUUUUGAAGUCCCAUCUGAUGGGGAACCCCAAAUUCAGCUGCUGAUUUUGCUUUACCAAGUGUCAUUGCCAGAGGAAGCAUAUAAUAUGCUGGAUCUUAUCAUAUCUACUGCAGGAAAUUUGAACGAGACAGUGAUCUCAUUGGAAAGAGCCUUAGGAGUUUUUGAGUAAGAUGGAAACUCUGUAAGUAAAGGUAUUCUCAAAGGUGUAGAGCUCCUGUGAUGUCUGGGCAUGUGAUCUUAGAGAGAAAAUUUCAAACAAGAAGAGGACGAAGGAUUCUGCAUUUGGUCUUUUUGUAUUUUCAGUUCAGUCUAGUGUUACCAUUGCUAAGUAUACAUACCAAUGGAUGGCACUUGCGCAGCAGGACAAGAAAACAAAGACCCUCCUCCAUUGGUAGUCCUUGUUUUUGAGCCUGAGAUAACUUCUGGCUCUGUUAAAAACAUGAUGCAAUCAAGUCAACCAAUUGAAAAGAAUUCAAUCCUGAAAAAUAAUGUGGAGACCAUUUGCUCUGAUCCUCUCAUUUCCAGCCAAGUGGAUGAAGGUUCUAGUUGAAAGUCACUUGCUGGCAAUGGUGCUCUGGUUGACUUACCUGUGAAAGCUUCUAGCAUUCAGAUGGAUUCACCUUUGGUUCUGAAGACACUGCAGCUGAUGGUGAAUGAUGGUUUUAGGUGGGGGCGUGUCUUUGAAGGGCGCAUUCACAUGUGUGGAAGUCGGAUUCCUUAUUCUGCUAGAAUCCCUGAAUUUCUGCAAGGUUGGGCAUUUUUUGAAAUGUCUGAAAUGGCCAAUCUUCUGUUGGUGGGAGUCUGAGCAGACUUCAGCAAACAGAAAGUAAUGUGUGUCAUACUGCUGCUCUCAUUCAUUACAAUGCUGGUACGCUGCUAGACUCUUAACUAAUGGAGCAAAUGUCCUGGAGCCAUGCAUGAGUCCCCAUCCUGAUGUUAACAGCCCAGAAUGAAGUUCCUGGUUGAGCACUGAAACCAUUUCCAGAGAGGCUUUAUGUUGUCCCUCCUAGAGUAGCUAAUGGGUUUGGGUUGCUUGAAAAUGAGAGGUAUGUGGUUACUGAAACAAAGGUUGUCAAACCUUUUCCUGAACGUUUGACAGCAAGGGCAAGGGUGGAUGAAUGCAAUUCCACUUUGUCAGAGGUCUUAACAGCUCUAAUUUCAGUGGAAGAAAUAUGAAGAAUUCCAUUAUAAUGGAAAUGAACGCUUCAAACUUGAUGAGCAUGAAAAUGGUAUUGAACUGGAUUCGGAGAUGGAGCCCAAUAGUUUGAACCUCCAGUCUCUUGGAAAUUAUAAAAUUCCUGGGUGUCUUGCUUUUAACGGUCAUAGUAUUUCUGUUUCUGGAAGAUCACUUGAUAAUCUAGGUUUUUUUGGUGGUGACCAGAGUUCUGAUGCUUUUACUUAAUCAACUCUGGAGCCAGAAAGGAUGUUUAACCAGGGAUUUGGUGAUCUCAUUGCAUCAGCUGUGCAGCCCAAAUCAGCAAUUGAACAAAUUUCUAACAAUUCAAGUUUAUCCUCAUCUCCAAAGUCUGUAUUACUAGAAAAGGUCCCAGUGGAUCAAUUUUCUUCAUGGAGUUUUAAUCCAAGGGUACACACAUCUGUCCAACAUACUGACAUGGAGGAUAAUUCAUUUGCAUGAAUUGCUGCCUCAAAAUUUUAAUCUGCCUAUGCCUCCAAAUGCUCAGUAUUUGAUGGGGGAUUCAGUUGGUCACUCAUCUAAUAAUAGUGAUAAUGAAGAUCAACAGAACCAUCCAAUCCUUCAGAGAAAACUUUAGAAGUCAACAUCAUUCUGAGCGAGAAUAAAGCAGAAGCAGGUCAGAUAAACAUAAAACAAACUUCAGAAUCUGUUAGACAUGGUGAAGAUGAUUCCCAAAGUUCCGUUGGAAAAUUUGCUGUUGUUGAACCAUCCGACACUAUUGAGGUAACUAAUUCAGUAACCAUCCAAGAUAAUGAACACAACAUCUGGAGAGCUCUGAUUUGGCACGUUGCAGCUAGUGCAUUGCAAAAGACAUCGGCCACACUUUGUGAGGCAAAACUACUAGAUGCAGCCACCAUUUUCUUAGCAGCUAUACAUGUACCAACAUUUCAGGGUUAUUUGGAUAUGGGCAGUACAUGGCCAGUUUAUUCAUCUAACCUUCCUAUGGUUUCUGGUCAUGGAGCAUCACGAUCCGAGGAGUUAAUUAUAAGAGUUUUCCACCCAUUUGACAAGAUUGGGUGUGUCGGCAGAGGAGGGAGUUCCAUUAAAAUUUUCAGGCAGGAAAAACAUUCAAUUUUGCAGGAGAUGAUUCUGUUGAAAGUGAGGACAACAUACCUGAUAUACAUGAAAAUCCUGGUCGAGGCAAACAGAAUAAACAUUCUGGAUCCCAGAAAUUGGGAAACUUUUAUGGGACUAGUGAGGAGGCAAUGGAGCCUGACAGUAGUACUGGAGACACCUAAUUACUCAUGCAUACUGUCAUCAGAUUUUCACAGUUCUGCUUUUGAGUAUGAAGGAUGUUCCAAAUGUUGGUGAGAAGGUACGACAAUCAGGCUGUCCAGAUACAGAACUUGGUUGCAACUGCCCUAGCAAAGAAAACAAAAGGAAACCAUUCAAAACGGACCAGUUGAGAAAAGUUUAAAUGGUUCUGAUAUUUCUGCUGCUGCAAUUCAAAAUGAUGUGUCCAAUGUUGGUUUGUCAAAGGAGAUUCUAUCAGAAGCACCAGCUCCAAAAAGUAGCAGGUUGUCAUCUGAAUGAUUGGCAUUGAAAAUGGUCUCAUGUCUUAUCCUUCGCCCAAGGUAGCAUUAUUAAAACACAGGGUGAAAGGAGCUUAUGGUUCUGAAACUUACAUGGGAGAAAACCAUACCAUGUUCUGCUCCAUCUGUUAAGGGAAGUGGCAUCACUAAUUUUGACAGUGCUGUUUCAUUAUCAAUUGGUGCCAAAUUUAAUAAGUGCUGUAAGGAUGAAAUUUCUACGAAAGGUCAGGGCAUCUUAGACAUCAUGCAAGCCAACUGCAUUGGGCAGGGAACCAAAAGUGAGAUCUCAUGUUGCAUUAGCUUUGGGCCUGCUCUCGCAAGCAAGACUUACUCAUACCAUGCACUUCUAUCAUGAACUCUUGGUUGGAUUCAAGAGCACUCAUUUGAGUUUAGUGUUUGACAAAGAAUGCAUUGGAUCAAAUGGACUGGGUUGAAAAGAUGAUUGAAGCAAUAGCUACUUUUGUUGAGUUCCCUUACAACCUUGAAGACCAUGCAUCAUCCACCUGGUUUGCUUUUGUUUCUCUGGCUGUAGGUUUGUUUUACUCAGUUGGUAUUGGUCUUUCUUUCAAGUUUCAUCAUUUCUGAGUCUUGAGAUCUUCCAUCCUUUGAUAGUCCAGAUGUGCAGAGUAUCAUGAAAUGCAUUCGUUUUCAUGCCAUUCAUCAUGAUGGGUUUGAAAUGCUCUUCUCAUUUUCAUCAAUUACGUAGCAUGCCCAUUUAGCCCUCAACAAGAAAGCUUUAAAGUUUUUGUCUGCAUGGGCAAGACAGAGAUGAUGUCAUGACAAUGGUUGGCUUGAUGAGUGCACAGUUUUCUAAGCCAUUGGUAGCGAGCAAAGCUACUCAUCUUGUAUGCCACAAAUUCAAAAGGUAUCUGUAUGCAAGAAGUUGGCCGAACACUUUACUGGCAGUGAGAGGCACAUGGAGUAAUUUCAGCAGGCCCAACUUCUAGAAGCAGCUUGAAGGUUGGAAAAAUCUGUUUCCAAUGGUAUACUAAAGCAUGGAAACCAGAAAUCGUUGAAGCUAUUGAUCUAGAUAUUCUUUCUCAGGUGCUGAAGUUAGGAAAUCUGGGCUAUGUUACAGAGCUUUGAGGAUGUUCUGGAUCAUGCAAUCACCUUCUGAUGGUUGCAAUCCUAAUGAAACUCUGAAUCUGUCGGUGAGACCAGAUCCCAUCGCUAUUACUGGUGAUCUCAUAGCUUGUGCUUACUUGAAUUUGUGGCAUCAAAGAAGGAGAUGAAAGUUCUAAUAUCACAUGUUGUGCUCAAAGUUUACUGCAUGAAUGACUUAUUCAUGGAAGCGAAUUUACUCCUUGAGAAAACAUGCUGAAACAGGGAUCUAUAUGGAUGGAUGUACAAGCGAGCAAAUUCAAGGACAAGUCUACUGCUGCCAUGUCAACAUUUGGUGACAUUCUGUGCGUCCAAACUGCAUGUCCUCUUUCAUCCCUCCAGGCACCAUAAUUAUGGUGAAAAUGUGGGCCAAUACCAUCAGAUUCUGGGAACUCCUUUGUCAGAAAUCGUGGCUUGUGUGGAAGACAGAUUAAUAUCACAUCCAAGGAUGAUAGUGGUGGGGCUGGAACAAGAUCACACCCUCCCAUUUCAAACCAAAACCAAGUUGGGAAGAAGAAAUACACUGGCUGACUGCUUAUAAGAGCCUUGCAAUGCAGGUGAAUCAAUCGCUAUGUUUCAUGGAGACCUGCCAUACUCUUCAAAAGAUAUCAUCAAGAAGUUGGAGAUGGAAUUAAGAUAUUUUCAGCCAAACCGGAGUCCUAAUUGGUGGAUGAAUUCAAACAGAUGCAGCCAUAAAUCCUGGGAACAGCAGAGAUCCUCUCCUGGAUUCUAAGGGAAGGAUGAGUGGAAUUGACACAGCAAUAUUUACUCAGACAGGUAGAAGCCGGUCACACACAAGCACAUAGUAGUGAAUGAGUUAAAGGAGCCGGCCCCACCCAGAUGCUGGUAGCUCAAUUGUGACAUACAUUGGUGGUGAUUACAAACUUCACCAAAGGAUGCCUUUCGCUGUCGAUCUACAAGGAACACCAUUACCUGAUUGCAGCAGGUUUGGUCAAUAGAGCUGCUGAUGCUAACCUGUUAAAACUUUGAACAGGAGGCCCUGGCCAUGGCUGUCUAGUCAAGAUCAGAACCUCAAGUCUUUGUAGGUAGUUAUUUGGUGCAAAACCUUGUUGUUUUAGUUGCUGAGUAUAUGAGUGGACCGGUUGGAGAUCCAGUCAAUUGGGACAAAAGCAUGGGCAUCAAAAUGUUUGACAAAAGCAUGGGCAUCAAAAUGUUUGAUGGUGAUUCUUUCCACUCUGAGAAGAAUAAGAAAAGCAUUCUAGUUGAUGAUUCUUUUAUGAUUCAACCUCAGUCAAUAGUCGAUGAUCAAUCAAAUUCUCACUUUGGGACUGACAUAAGCAUGGUUGCAGACAUUGCAGGAGUUACUCAACCUCAAAGUGACACGCCAGAAUUUCACAGGAAAGGCUUGAAGUUUUUUCCUGCUCAAGAGUCGGAUGACCUUUACAUGGUGAUUGAUUGGGAUUCAGCUGCAGAGCAUGUCAUGACAUCUUGGACUCUUGAAAUGGAUUAUGCAAGUAAUAUUUCUUCAACUGAAGCUGAUAGAGGGCCCUCUGAUAUUGAAACCACUGGUUGCAUUGAUGAUGAGCUGGCUUCUAAUGGUAAGAGCAUUGGCAGUACAAACAGUGGGGCUUCUAAAGAAAAAGUUUCUAUUAAAGAAGCAAGGCCUAAAGCCUUGGGUGAACCUCUUGUGAAAAGCAGAUCUGAAAUUAUAUUGAGCGUCUACAAAGGUAUAUUACUCGUUGCUCAGGUCAAAAUAUUUGAUGAAAGUGAAAAAGAUUUGGAGGUGUUGACGGAAGAUUGAGCUUUUGAUUGGUGCUCUUCUGUUAGGUUAAGGUUGUUUAUAUUUUAUUUGGACAAUAGUUAUUGGUGUAAUGGUGGUUUAAAAAUUUGGAAUUUAAAGAUGGAAAGGAGGGGUGAAUGUGAAUUGAUUUCAUUGGAGCAAUUUCAGACUCAAGCACAGAAUGAACACUUGCAAUUUGUUGAAACUGAGAUGACUCCCCAGAACUUGCAGAAUUUACGUUCUCGAUUGCCGUAAGAAUAGUAAGUUCUACCUUCAGAUAUGAAAUUGGACCUCAAAGAUUGAAACGGGUGGUGGUGUCUAAGUUGGAUUUAGAGAAUGAAGCAGAGCAGUCCACUGGACACUUUCUUGACAACCAGCAGAUUGCAAAGCUCCAAACAGGAGUCGAUUCUUAAAAUCGCAUUUAUUAGGAUUGAUGUUCCUUUCGAGACGAUACAGGCAAAAGUAUCACCUUCAGUUUCAUAAGGUGGAGAAGAAAAUAGAAAGACGGAGGUAUUGAGAAAACAGAGGAAAAAGAGCAGGUGAGAGGCAACGCAAGUUGAAGCUGUAUUUGUCCGCCAUGGGUUUUGGAGCGCGAGUAUUUCAGAAUCUCAAAUCUGAGGUUUCAAAAUAAAGUCUUACUAAAACUUGAAAUGGUUGAAGUCACGAUACUGCUACUGUAUUGGCAUCAGCAAGUGAAAAAUUGAAGAUGAAACAGCCACCUGUGGACUGGAAAAUUGCACCAGGUUUUGGUUUUGCCCAUGUAAACUGUUAAAUGAAGCAAGCCAAGUACCGGCCACUGGCAAUAAGAUCCUCGAACAUGGGUCUCUUGAGCUACAAGCAAACCAGGUUUUGGUUUUGCCCAUGUAAACGGUUAAAUCAGAUUCCCUAUUAUCCUCCAUUUCGCACUGUUCUUCAUUCUUCUGUUUUAUCUUUGGGUGUUGUUUGUUGACUGCAAAUAUGUA